ensembl:lncRNA novel transcript, antisense to PELI1
GGAAAGCGCGCGCCAGCUGCACGCAGGGAAACAGUUCUCAUUUUGUGUGCUCGGCUGACUGCACGUCCAGCCUCGGGCCAGCUCGAGACGGCCACAUUGCCUGGUUGAAGAUGGCUGAGCGUAAAACAGAAUGCAAGUCAGCUGGAGCACGUACUACUGGAGGCAGAGCCCCAUGAGAAGGGGCCAAGAACCCGCACCCAUCAAAAUCAAGAAGAAAGGCUGAACCCGGAGAGAAAAGGGAGGUGAGCCUGCGGAGGGAGAUGGGAUGCAGCGGAGGGAAUUGGGGUGCAGCGGAGGGAAUUGGGGUGCAGCGGAGGGAAUUGGGGUGCAGCGGAGGGAAUUGGGAUGCAGCUGAGAGGGGAGCGCCAGUGGGGAGGUUUUGGGAGCCAAGCCAUUAGAGGAAGGAUCACACAAUGUCCAGAGGUAAUGAACACAGAACUUUUUAGUUUGUUUUUAGGUCAGAGUCUCAUAUCCUGGUCUGCACUCGAUGGAUUCUUAAAGCAAUUGGAACCUCAGGCUGGUCCUGGAGCAAGAGCUGGUCCUUUACUUGGGGCUCUCAGGUUGAGAAGUUUGAGCUCUAGGAUUCUCCACUGACCACCUCUCCCUGUCUUUGCUCACUUCCCAUCUUUAAACUCCCAUUGAACUGGCAUGCUAUUCUUAGCAUGGCACUCAGGCUCUUGACUCCACCCAGUCCUUCUAGUUAUAUUGGCCAUGGUACCUACGUUCUUGUGUCUCCUAGCACUGUCUACCUACCCUCUCUCCACAACACAUAUUACACCCCCAAUCCAACCCAUAAUUCCCAUUGGUUUCCAGGUAUGCCAGUCUUCUUACGGUUUCCUAAACAUGUCAUAGUAGGGAAAAUGCUACAUGUUCACUACCUCAUUUCACCUUCCUAGGCAGAUGAGAAGACAUCUCCCAGUUUCUUUUUGCAGCUAGGUUGGGACACUGACCAAAUUUUUGACAACAAAAAAGUGAGUGGAGGGAUAUGGCAUUCUGGUUCAGGAAGACUAAGAGGGGGUCUGAGUUCUUCAUGCUUAUUCUCUUUUGUCCAUAUGCUAGGAUGUGCAAAACUCUAACUCAGUGGGUUGUAAAAUGGAAGCAGGCUGGGUCCUGAAUUUCUGUUGCAGGAAAGCUGACCAAUUGGCAUAAGACAUAUAUAUAUAUUUUUUUAAUGAGCAAAAGCCACUGAGAUUAUGGGGUUUUAUUUGUUACCUCAGCCUGUCCUAUUCUAUCCUAACAGCACACAUACCAUGCUUUUUCUUAUUUUGGCAUCUCUAUAGUUACAUUAUGUCACUUGGAAUGCCUCCCUGCAUUCCUACCCUGCAGCAAAUUGCUACUAUCCUUGGAUUCUCCUCUGUGAUCUUAUAGCACCAUGCUCAGGUUUCUGGCCUGAGUGAUUAGAUGAAUCUUGGCACCAGUAAGGAAAAAGAAAGGGAGGAAGAGGUGUACAUUUGGCAGAGAGAAAGAACUCUGUAUGUGCACUAUGUGUUUGAGAAUGGGACAUCCAGGGAUAUAUGGAUCUGAAGCUCAAGAGAGAGGUCUGAGCUAGAGAUAGGUAGAGGGUUGAGAGUCAUGAGCAUAGGGGAAGAAGUGGGCAAGAUUACCCAGCGAAAGUAUGUAAAUUAAGAUAAGAGAGUGGAAGAUGGAAAGGUGAAUCUUAGUGGAACACCAUCCUUUAAAGGAAGGCAGAAGAAGCAGAGCCCUUAUAAAUUUCACAGAGUCCCCCUAAGGACAUUCAGAAUUGAGCGUGAAACCUGGGAAAGCAGAACUAGUUUAUUGAUCAACAUUUACAAAUGUGAAACUUAAUUUUGAGGAAAACAGGGUAUACUGCAAUUGAAGCUGUUGAGUAGACCCAAAAAUGCCUUUGAAGGUGGAAUUGCUCACCUUUGUUACUGAGAAAACUCCCGGGCAAAAGUUUAGUUUUGAUCAUGUUAAAGGUAAAUUAAAAGCUGACCUUGGCUUUUAUAUUCCUGGCUUUCCUCAACCUGAAGUCUUCUGACUUCUCUGAACCUAAAGGAAUGAGAAAGUUGCAAGGAUUUGUAACCGGCUAUUGGAAUUAAUUGUGCUCACUAGCCUAUAUUUUGUUUUGCUUUUUUCUCCAUGUGUUUGCUUUUUGGAUGUAAUUCUUAAAUUGUCUAAAUGGUCACCUUUUGUUGUUGUUAUUCUUUAAAUGGUACCUGGACAGCUAUGAUGGGUCAAGAGAGAGAAUUGCUUUAUACUACAAGGCUAUCAGAAGAUCACUGAGGUUGUAGUGAGCCGAUAUCGCUCCACUGCACUCCAGCCUGGGCGACAGUGAGACUGUCGUGAGGAAGGGAAUGUGAUAAUCCAAGAGAGAGAUGACAAUGGAUUGGAACACAGUGGCAGCAGUGGAGGUAGUGAGAAGUGGUUGGAUGCAGGAUAUAUUUUGAAGAGGAAGCCAAUAAGAUUCGGAUGUGAGAAAAGAAAAAAAAGUAAGAGGAGUCCAGAAGGACUCUAAAGGUUUUGAAUAGAGUCACCAUCGACUGAGAGAGUGCAGACUGGGAGUGGAGCUGGCUUCAAAGGGAAGAACAGAAGUCCAAGUUUGGACUUGUUAAGUUUGAUACAUGAAGCAGGCAUCUGGAUAAAGGUCUGGAGUUCAAACGGGCGUGGUGGCUCACACUUGUAAUCCCAGCACUUUGGGAGGCCGAGGCAGGCAGAUCACUUGAGGCCAGGAGUUCGAGACCAGCUGGCCAACAUGGCGAAACCCCGUCUCUACUAAAAAUACAAAAAUUAGCUGGGCGUGGUGGCAGGUGCCUGUAAUUCCAGCUACUUGGGAGGCUGAGGCAGGAGAAUCACUUGAACAUUGGAGGCAGAGGUUGCAGUG